GCUCAAUCCUUUAAGUAGAUGGGGAAUGUAAAGAGGAUGUUAGUCAUAAGAUUAAAAUCGAAGGGUUAAAGUAGAGAAGUGCGACUGGAGUUUUAUGUGAUCGCAAGAUUUCCAAUAAGUUGAAAGGAAAUUUUUACCGUACAGUUAUACUACUGGCCAUAUUAUAUGGUAGUAAGUGUUAGGUAAUGAAGAAGCCGUAUGUGUUCAAGAUAAGAGUUGUGGAGAUGAGAAUGUUAAGGUGGAUA
rnacentral:misc_RNA from 1 species